CGGCAUGGCGAUCGGGAUCGUCGGAGAUGCCGGCGUAAGGGCAAAUGCACAGCAGCCAAAGCUAUUUGUGGGUAUGAUUCUCAUCCUUAUUUUUGCUGAAGCACUUGCUCUCUAUGGCCUCAUUGUCGGCAUCAUCCUCUCAUCUCGAGCUGGGCAAUCUCGGGCAGACUGAGAAUACAAGGAUCUGGUGCCCCGAACCUUUGGUUCAAUUUGCAUAGACAUGAAUUUUAUGAGCUAUGUGUCUUAACGGAGGUAUGAGCUAUUCCUUCCUUCUUAGCUUAUUAUGCCCUUGUUGAGAACACAGUUUGGUGAAACUUAUUAUACAGCAAAUAAUGUCGCUGAUCUAUCCAAGUUAUAGAUCUGUAAUCUUAUGUUUUAUAUCACCUUUGGUUUUUGGUUUUAGACAGUUUUGGUUUUGUUGAUCAGGCUUCAC
rnacentral:misc_RNA from 1 species